rnacentral:rRNA from 1 species
CACGUAUUUAGCCGGAGCUUCUUAGUCAGGUACCGUCAUUUUCUUUCCUGCUGAUAGAGCUUUACAUACCGAAAUACUUCUUCGCUCACGCGGCGUCGCUGCAUCGGGGUUUCCCCCAUUGUGCAAUAUUCCCCACUGCUGCCUCCCGUAGGAGUCUGGGCCGUGUCUCAGUCCCAAUGUGGCCGUCCACCCUCUCAGGCCGGCUACUGAUCGUCGCCUUGGUGGGCCGUUACCCCGCAACCAGCUAAUCAGACGCGGGUCCAUCCCGCACCACCGGAGUUUUUCACACUGCUUCAUGAGAAGCUGUGCGCUUAUGCGGUAUUAGCAGCGUUUCCAGCUGUUGUCCCCCAGUGCGGGGCAGGUUGCCCACGCGUUACUCACCCGUCCGCCACUCAGCGCAAACUUUUCCUCCCGAAGAAUUCAAAAGCAGGCGCUUCGUUCGACUUGCAUGUGUUAAGCACGCCGCCAGCAUCAUCCUGAGCCAGGAUCAAAAU